UACGAAGGGUGCAAACGUUGCUCGGAAUUAUUGGGCGUAAAGCGCACGUAGGCGGCUUGGCAAGUCGGAUGUGAAAUCCCUCGGCUCAACCAAGGAAGUGCAUCCGAAACUGCUGAGCUUGAGUACUUAAGAGGAUCGCGGAAUUCCCGGUGUAGAGGUGAAAUUCGUAGAUAUCGGGAGGAACACCAGCGGCGAAGGCGGCAUCCUGGACUGGUCCUGACACUCAGGAGCGAAAAGCGUGGGGAGCGAUCCGG
rnacentral:rRNA from 1 species